ensembl:lncRNA
UGUUCUUGCUGGUGUUCAGGACGAGGAUGUUGUCUAAGCACCACUGUGUCAGGUGUUGGAUCUCCUUUCUAUAGUCAGUCUCAUCAUUGUCUCGCAAACUUCACAACUGUGUUAGUGAAAUGAAUGGGAGAACAAUUGCGAGUAAAGACAUUGAAUAAGGCCGGGCUGAGCACACAGCCCUCUGGGGUGCUCGUCUUCAGGACCAGUGUGGAAGAUGUCCAGCUCCCCAUUCUUACCGCCCGAGGCCUGAUGGAGAGGAAGUCUCUGAUCCAGUAGCGCAGCGAAGUCGACAGACCCAGGUUAUGAAGCUUCAGAGCCAGCUUAUUCAGGAUCACAGUGUUGAAAACAGAGAAGAAGUCAACAAACAGCAUCCUAACAUAAGAGUUGUGAUGUUCCAGGUGGGUCAGAGCUUACAUCCUGUGUUGAACUUUCCACCUGUAUGCAAGCUGAUGUCUGUCCAGACCAACAUGGAUGCGCUUGGUCCUUGAUGUGCUUCUGAACGAUCCUCUCACAGCACUUCAUAAUUGCUGAAGUCAGGGCCACAGGACUAUAAUCACUGAGGCAAGAGACAAUCUUUUGGGUACAGAGGAUUUAAGGCAGACAGGUUGAAGAUGUCCAGAAAAACUUCUGCCAGUUAGUCAGGGCACGCCUUCAGAGUCCUGCCUGACAGCUAACACGAGAGUGAGUUUAAAUGUUUUGUUAAUAAAAACAUCCCCGUCUGAUUCUGCAUUAUAUAACCCUCCGGGGCUGCAUGUUCACAUCCGUCCGCUAGAGGGUGCUGCGGGCCCUCAUUGUAGAGCCACCCUCGUAGGCUCCUGACCCGCGUUCACCCGUACUGUACAGGCAUGGGGGAGGACCGAGCAUAGAGAACUAGUAAACGCUGUGGAGUUCCCUGUGCACACCGUGGCCAUGACUUUGACAGUACCGGCUAGCGGACGUUGCUCUCCCGUCUCCAGGCACCUGAAAGCGGACCGGUAGAGGAGGCUACACCGGAGGGAGAGGCAUUAGCUGACGCCGGCUCGAGUCGAUUUUCUGUGAAGGAAGACGCUUUGCCACAUGAUGUUUUCCAGUAAAUAUGUUGGUGAAGAAAGCCGGCCUCCAUCUUCAUAGCAGCAGGGCCCAGGCUCAGGAGUGAAAUCACAUUAGAUUGCAUAAAACUAAGGAAA